rnacentral:rRNA from 1 species
GUGGGGAAUCUUGCGCAAUGGGCGAAAGCCUGACGCAGCCAUGCCGCGUGAAUGAUGAAGGUCUUAGGAUUGUAAAAUUCUUUCACCGGGGACGAUAAUGACGGUACCCGGAGAAGAAGCCCCGGCUAACUUCGUGCCAGCAGCCGCGGUAAUACGAAGGGGGCUAGCGUUGCUCGGAAUUACUGGGCGUAAAGGGCGCGUAGGCGGACAGUUUAGUCAGAGGUGAAAGCCCAGGGCUCAACCUUGGAAUUGCCUUUGAUACUGGCUGUCUUGAGUGCGGGAGAGGUGAGUGGAACUCCGAGUGUAGAGGUGAAAUUCGUAGAUAUUCGGAAGAACACCAGUGGCGAAGGCGACUCACUGGCCCGUUACUGACGCUGAGGCGCGAAAGCGUGGGGAGCAAACAGGAUUAGAAACCCUGGUAGUCC